GAGUCGAACGAUGAAGCCCUUCGGGGUGGAUUAGUGGCGAACGGGUGAGUAACACGUGGGCAAUCUGCCCUUCACUCUGGGACAAGCCCUGGAAACGGGGUCUAAUACCGGAUAACACUCUGUCCCGCAUGGGACGGGGUUGAAAGCUCCGGCGGUGAAGGAUGAGCCCGCGGCCUAUCAGCUUGUUGGUGGGGUAAUGGCCUACCAAGGCGACGACGGGUAGCCGGCCUGAGAGGGCGACCGGCCACACUGGGACUGAGACACGGCCCAGACUCCUACGGGAGGCAGCAGUGGGGAAUAUUGCACAAUGGGCGAAAGCCUGAUGCAGCGACGCCGCGUGAGGGAUGACGGCCUUCGGGUUGUAAACCUCUUUCAGCAGGGAAGAAGCGAAAGUGACGGUACCUGCAGAAGAAGCGCCGGCUAACUACGUGCCAGCCGCCCGGGGUAAU
rnacentral:rRNA from 1 species